rnacentral:misc_RNA from 1 species
UGACAGCACAAAUUGUCCAAUUUCAAGGCAGCAGUCAAUUUACCUUUCUUGUUUUAUGAUAUAAAGAGCCCAAAAGAUUGUGUUCCUACAUUUUUUUAAUGACUCCUUAUUUUGAGUGAAAUUAUCAAGAACAAAUUUCCAAAUUGACUAGAACAAUGGGAAAGACAAGACAUUCACCUUUUAAUAGUAAUGAAUAUGAAUUUCAGUGACCUGUUAUGCAUUUUUAGGCUCCUGUUCUAAG